rnacentral:rRNA from 1 species
GAUGAACGCUGGCGGCGUGUCUAAGGCAUGCAAGUCGAGUGGGUUUAGACCCACGGCAAACGGGUGAGUAACACAUUGGUAACCUACCUCGAAGUGUGGCAUAACCUGUCGAAAGACGGGAUAAUUCCACAUGUGCUCUAGUGAUGAUGUCAUUAGAGUAAAGAUUUAUCGCUUCGAGAGGGGCCUAUGGCCUAUCAGCUAGUUGGUAAGGUAAUGGCUUACCAAGGCUAUGACGGGUAGCGGGGGUGAGAGCGCGACCCGCCUCACUGGGACUGAGACACUGCCCAGACUCCUACGGGAGGCUG